rnacentral:lncRNA from 1 species
GCUGGCGGAGGCCUUCCAUUGUCGACAUUCGUCUGGGAUCCCUCCACUGUGGGAGUUCGACUGGAAUCCAAUUCUUGUAGGAGCUCGGAUGGAAUCCAGAAGGUUGUCGACCGCUAUAGAAACUUGGAUGGAGUCUGGUUACUGUAGAAAUCCCAUUGUCGGAGAAGCUCGGAUGCUGACGAAGUCUGGAUGAAGUUCGGAGUAGAGUCAUCCAUGGUCGGAAGAAGUUUGGAAGAGAUUCGGAGGAUAAUCGAUCACCGUGAAAAAUCGACUGAUAGUGGAGUUCGGAGGGCAUUUGGAGCAGUCCAGUAGAUGGAUGAGGAAGCUCGUUGUCGGAGAAGUCUGGAUGGUAUUAUGGAGGCUCGGACGGUCAAAAGAGUUCAGAAAGAUGCCACACAAGGUCGGAAGCAGGAAAAGCCCUGGAAGGGUCGGUCUUCUACAAACUUCGAUCGGAGGGUAUUUUAUAGCCAACACCAGUCCCCCUGCUUCAGAGUUUGGGUUCCGAAUAAAAGAAGUACAAAAAAAUUUUCACGAUUGAAGUUGCCCCCCUCGAUUUCCACACUCGAUGGUUGCCAGAUAUUUUGGCGCUAGGCGCGCUGGUGCCGGAGUCUUUUCAAAUCAAAGCGAUCCGAAAAGAUUUUUUUAGAAUUCCUGCUGGGGCAUGGUUCUAGGUAUGGCACAAUAAUAAUUUUGUUAGCUGUCAGCCAUUUUCAGUCGCCGCCAUGGUGAGUGGGACACGCGGCAAGUGCAGGUCGGCCAGAGGAGAUCUGCAAUCAUUAUUGCGUCAGACCCUGGGGUCUAUUUAAACACGUCCUCUUCUUUCAGGGGUUUCACUUUGCCUGAGAAAAUCCAUCGGUCCCCUCCUCUUCCCCGAAAG